UGAGUUUGUUAGGAACCUAUAAAAACGGUGGUAGUAAUUUCAUCGUAACGUCUUUCUUCGCCAGCCAUCUGACUGAGGAGAGGUUUAAGUUUUAUUUCUUCCCAAAAACGAAGAAUUGAUCACUGUCCGACGAUAUGUCGUACAAAACGGUAAUCUUGUGUUGUUUGCUACUUGUGGUAUUUUUUGUUGCAUCGGCACCAAUUGAUUCAGAUCCAACAGACACAAGAAAGAGAGAUGACAUUCCGUCAAUUGGUGAUCCAGAUGACUUCUUAAAGUUAAAACUGUUAAAAAUUAUACUUCUUAAAACAGCACUUUUAGGUUAAAAAAUGUAUUAUAUUUUAAUCUAAACAUUGACUGAGAUAAUCUUUAAUUAUAUUUAUUUUAUGUUUAAAAAUACAUUAAUCAUUUUUCAUAAUAAAUUACAUUUACUAUACUA